CUGCAGCCCGAGUGGUGAUCGAUUUUAUUGAGCCUAAAGCGUCCGUAGCCGGACUAGUAAACCCUUGGGUAAAUUGGGCAGCUUAACUGUCCAAAUUCCGAGGGGACUGCUAGUCUUGGGACCGGGAGAGGUCAGAGGUACUCAAGGGGUAGGGGCUAAAUCCUGUAAUCCUUUGGGGACCACCAGUGGCGAAGGCGUCUGACUAGAACGGAUCCGACGGUAAGGGACGAAACCCUGGGGAGCGAACCGGAUUAGAGACCCGAGUAGUCC
rnacentral:rRNA from 1 species